UAAUAAUAUUAUGUCGUUGCCUCUAUGCUCUCAUUCUUCGAAAUCAAGUUCUAGGGUUUUGAGAAUUCAAGCUCCAUGGCUUGGCUACCCACAAUCGUAUCGAUGACGAUGAUCAUUUCGGAGGCCAUUUUCUUGGAACUCACAAUUUCAGGCGGCGUGGGAACUCAAAAGUUGAAGAAACUGCUCCUGGUGUUGCAACAGGAAUGAUUUUGUCUCUUCAUGAAACGUAUUGAGGAACAAUGGGUUAUGCUUCACUGAUUAAACCUCUAUAUCACUGGAAAUUAUAAUGCAUUGACUUUUCUUUAGGUCCUGAUUUUUAUACUUUUAUUGCAACUCUUUUUGCAGUCUUCAAAACUGUAAAGAUACUCUUGCAACAUGCCAAAUGGAACUUGAAGCUGCAAAAUCUGAGAUUUGAAAGCAGCAUUCUUCAUUUCUGAAUGAACACUAGCCUUUUAGGGUACCUUUCUUGUUGUAUUAUGUAAAAUUAUAUGUUUUAGAGAGUCAAUUCCUCAUCAUUUUUUAGGUGCAUCUUCUGUAUGUCCAUUAAAAAGGUGAUUUCAACCUAUCCUUCUAGAUCCUAAAUUGGUCACCAAUUAUCUUCAGUCCCUGAAGAACUCUGAGGAGUCAUUGAAAGAACAGGUUAGUGAAUGUUUCUUUUCAAAAGUCAUUAGCAUUCUUCAUCUUUUUGUUCAUGGUUUGUUCUUCC